UACGAAGGGGGCUAGCGUUGUUCGGAAUUACUGGGCGUAAAGCGUGCGCAGGCGGUUCGUUGUGUCGGCGGUGAAAGCCCCGGGCUCAACCUGGGAAUGGCCGUUGAAACUGGCGAACUGGAGUGUGGCAGAGGGGGGUGGAAUUCCGCGUGUAGCAGUGAAAUGCGUAGAGAUGCGGAGGAACACCGAUGGCGAAGGCAGCCCCCUGGGCUAACACUGACGCUCAGGCACGAAAGCGUGGGGAGCAAACAGG
rnacentral:rRNA from 1 species